rnacentral:rRNA from 1 species
UACAGAGGUCUCGAGCGUUGUUCGGAUUCAUUGGGCGUAAAGGGUGCGUAGGUGGCACUGUAAGUCGGGUGUGAAAUCCUGAGGCUUAACCUCGGAACUGCAUUCGAUACUGCGGUGCUUGAGGACUGGAGAGGAGACUGGAAUUCAUGGUGUAGCAGUGAAAUGCGUAGAGAUCAUGAGGAAGACCAGUGGUGAAGGCGGGUCUCUGGACAGUGCCUGACACUGAGGCACGAAGGCCAGGGGAACAAACGGG